GUAACGCGUGAGUAACGUGCCCUCAAGUUGGGAAUAACUUUCCGAAAGGAGAGCUAAUACCGAAUGUGGUUAUUUUUUCGCAUGUAUAGAUAACUAAAGAUUUAUCGCUUGAGGAUCGGCUCGCGUCCAAUUACGCUUGUUGGUGAGGUAACGGCUCACCAAGGCUAUGACGGGUAGGUGGUCUAAGAGGAUGGUCACCCACACUGGGACUGAGACACUGCCCAGACUCCUACGGGAGGCUGCAGUCGAGAAUCUUCCGCAAUGGGCGAAAGCUUGACGGAGCAAUGCCGCGUGAAGGAUGAAGGCCUUUGGGUUGUAAACUUCUGUCACCGGGGAUGAAUAAUGACAGUACCCGGGGAGGAAGCCACGGCUAACUACGUGCCAGCAGCCGCGGUAAUACGUAGGUGGCGAGCGUUGUUCGGAUUUAUUGGGCGUAAAGGGUUCGUAGGGGGUUAACUAAGUCUGAUGUGGAAUCCCGCGGCUUAACCGCGAAACUGCAUUGGAGACUGGAGAACUAGAGGAUCGGAGAGGAGAGUGGAAUUCCGGGAGUAGCGGUGGAAUGCGUAGAUAUCCGGAAGAACACCGACAGCGAAGGCAGCUCUCUGGACGAUACCUGACCCUGAGGGACGAAAGCGUGGGUAGCAAACAGGAUUAGAUACCCUGUAGUCCACGCCGUAAACGUUGUGUGCUUGGUUUGCAGAUUCAACCCUGUCGGAAUCGUAGCUAACGCGU
rnacentral:rRNA from 1 species